CUUCAGCGACGAAGCAUGGUCCCAACAAUUCCGCAUGUGAAUCGUACUGAGUAUCAGCUGAUUGAUAUUUCUGAGGAUGGAUUUGUGAGCCUUCUUACUUCAGAUGGCAACACUAAGGAUGAUCUUAGACUCCCAACUGAUGAGACUCUUGUGGCCCAGGUC